rnacentral:rRNA from 1 species
AUACGGAGGGGGCUAGCGUUGUUCGGAUUUACUGGGCGUAAAGGGCGUGUAGGCGGCCCACAAAGUCAGACGUGAAAGCCCCGGGCUCAACCUGGGAACUGCGCUUGAAACGUGUGGGCUAGAGUCCGGGAGAGGAUGGUGGAAUUCCCAGUGUAGAGGUGAAAUUCGUAGAUAUUGGGAAGAACACCGGUGGCGAAGGCGGCCAUCUGGACCGGUACUGACGCUAAGGCGCGAAAGCGUGGGUAGCGAACAGCAUUAGAAACCCCAGUAGUCC